rnacentral:rRNA from 1 species
AUACGUAGGUGACAAGCGUUAUCCGGAUUUACUGGGUGUAAAGGGCGUGUAGGCGGUUUAGCAAGUCAGAAGUGAAAUUCCCGGGCUUAACUUGGGCGCUGCUUCUGAAACUGCAUUACUUGAGUGCUGGAGAGGAUAGUGGAAUUCCUAGUGUAGCGGUAAAAUGCGCAGAUAUUAGGAGGAACACCGGUGGCGAAGGCGGCUAUCUGGACAGUAACUGACGCUGAGGCGCGAAAGCACGGGGAGCAAACAGGAUUAGAUACCCUGGUGGUCCGUGCCGUAAACGAUGAAUACUAGGUGUAGGGGGUAUCGACUCCCUCCGUGCCGCAGUUAACACAUUAAGUAUUCCACCUGGGGAGUACGGCCGCAAGGUUGAAACUCAAAUGAAUUGACGGGG